UCCCAUGUCCUGAAAAAUAGAAUCCAGCUGAAGAUUCGUGCCAGACAAAAGGUGCCACCUCAGAAAGGUCUUCCUGCUCAAGAAGUGCCCAGACUGCCCCAACAAUUGCACCUUGUAGCCAAAGCUUCCAGACUUUUUUUCCUGGUGGAAAGAGCUGCUGUUCCCUUUCUUCAGCCCUGCGCUGCAAUGACCGGUCCCACCUCCUGGAAAAUUUACUCUAAAUAAAGAUUCCUGCCAGACAAAAGGUGCCACCACAGAAAGGUCUUUGCUACCCAAAAAGUGCCCAGGCUGUCCCAACAACUGCACCUCAAAGCCAAAGGAUCCAGACUUUUUUUCCGGGUGGAAAGAGUUGCUGUUCCCUUUUUCCUGCCCUGCGCUGCAAUGCCUUGUCCCACCUCCUGGAAAAUUUACUCUAAAUGAAGAUUCCUGCUAGACAAAAGGUGCCACCACAGAAAAAUCUUCCUGCCCAAAAGUUCCCCGGCUGCCCCAACAACUGCACCUCAUAUCUAAAGCUUCCAGAGUUUUUUUCCUGGUGGAAAGAGCUGCUGUUCCCUUUUUUCAGGCCUGCGCUGCAACAUCCGGUCCCUCCUCCUGCAAAAUUUAUUCUAAAUGAAGAUUCCCACCAGACAAAAGGUGCCACCACAGAAAGGUCUUCCUCCUCAAGAAGUGCCCAGGCUGCCCCAAAAACUACACCUGAAGUCAAAGCUUCCAGACAUUUUUUCCUGGUAGAAAGAGCUGCUGUUCCCUUUUUUCUGCCCUGCUCUGCAAUGGCCGGUCCCACCUCCUGAAAAAUUGAAUCC